CAGUCAUAUCAUCGUAAGUCAAAGGACCAUUCACACAACUACAGCAUCGAGACAAUCACUGACGAUCGAGUAGAAAUCUAAGUGAUCUCUCGUAUAGUCACGUUCAGUACUAGUUAUUCUCUAAUAACUAUCCACACUCAUCGCUAAGUGUCUUUACACUGUAGACCAGAGACUCAUUUAUCCCAAAAGAAGCGAUCUAUGUACUGAUCUAUCCUGAUCGAUUACCAUCCUUAUGAUGAUACU
rnacentral:lncRNA from 1 species